UACGGGGGGGGCAAGCGUUGUUCGGAAUUACUGGGCGUAAAGGGCUCGUAGGCGGCCAACUAAGUCAGACGUGAAAUCCCUCGGCUUAACCGGGGAACUGCGUCUGAUACUGGAUGGCUUGAGUGUGGGAGAGGAAUGCGGAAUUCCAGGUGUAGCGGUGAAAUGCGUAGAUAUCUGGAGGAACACCGGUGGCGAAGGCGGCUGCCUGGGCCUGGCCUGACGCUGAGGCGCGAAAGCGUGGGGAGCAAUCCGG
rnacentral:rRNA from 1 species